rnacentral:lncRNA from 1 species
AGGAAUCAGACCCAGUCAGGACACAGCAUGGACAUGAGGGUCCUCGCUCAGCUCCUGGGGCUCCUGCUGCUCUGUUUCCCAGGUGCCAGAUGUGACAUCCAGAUGACCCAGUCUCCAUCCUCACUGUCUGCAUCUGUAGGAGACAGAGUCACCAUCACUUGUCGGGCGAGUCAGGGUAUUAGCAGCUGGUUAGCCUGGUAUCAGCAGAAACCAGAGAAAGCCCCUAAGUCCCUGAUCUAUGCUGCAUCCAGUUUGCAAAGUGGGGUCCCAUCAAGGUUCAGCGGCAGUGGAUCUGGGACAGAUUUCACUCUCACCAUCAGCAGCCUGCAGCCUGAAGAUUUUGCAACUUAUUACUGCCAACAGUAUAAUAGUUACCCU